AACGAACGCUGGCGGCAUGCCUAACACAUGCAAGUCGAACGAGACCUUCGGGUCUAGUGGCGCACGGGUGCGUAACGCGUGGGAACCUGCCCUUAGGUUCGGAAUAACUCCCCGAAAGGGGUGCUAAUACCGGAUAAUGUCUUCGGACCAAAGAUUUAUCGCCUUUGGAUGGGCCCGCGUUGGAUUAGCUAGUUGGUAGGGUAAAAGCCUACCAAGGCGACGAUCCAUAGCUGGUCUGAGAGGAUGAUCAGCCACACUGGGACUGAGACACGGCCCAGACUCCUACGGGAGGCAGCAGUGGGGAAUAUUGGACAAUGGGCGAAAGCCUGAUCCAGCAAUGCCGCGGGAGUGAUGAAGGCCUUAGGUUGUAAAGCUCUUUUACCCGGGAUGAUAAUGACAGUACCGGGAGAAUAAGCUCCGGCUAACUCCGUG
rnacentral:rRNA from 1 species